rnacentral:lncRNA from 1 species
UAAGAUACCUUGUAAGGAAAGAGAGAAGAGAGCUAUGUUGGAUGUGACCUACGUGAUAUAUUCAAGAUGAUCCAUAAAGAUACGGUCAAUUUAUUUAAAUCGAUCUAUAAAGAUAUUUUAGAUCUUACGAUUAGGAUGUAUCUGGACACGUCCUUGAUGGACGGACGUGAUUUAACAUCUUUACAUUAAGUUAUAUAUAAAUAUGUAACAUACGAGAGUUCUGGUCUAACCCUAAUCCAAUUUGUCUGUGACGGCUCUAUCUCCGGAGAUAAGGGAAUUAGAUUCGAAACGUCUCGUCUUCUUGCAGAUCACGAACAAGGACGAACCACGAGUAAGGAUCGCCGUUUACAAAUCGGGUACAGAAAUCGAAAUCAUGACAGAAAGUACGAUCUAGUUUCUCAUAAAGUUUCUAACAAG